rnacentral:rRNA from 1 species
AGAUUGAACGCUGGCGGCAGGCUUAACACAUGCAAGUCGGGCGGAAACGAAGGGAGCUUGCUCCCAGGCGUCGAGCGGCGAACGGGUGAGUAACGCGUAGGAAUCUACCUGAUAGAGGGGGAUAGCCCGGGGAAACUCGGAUUAAUACCGCAUACGCCCGUACGGGGGAAAGCAGGGGAUCUUUCGGGACCUUGCACUAUCAGAUGAGCCUGCGUCGGAUUAGCUAGUUGGUAGGUAAAGGCCUACCAAGGCGACGAUCCGUAGCUGGUCUGAGA